rnacentral:rRNA from 1 species
UACGGAGGGUGCAAGCGUUAUCCGGAAUCACUGGGUUUAAAGGGUGCGUAGGCGGUUAUGUAAGUCAGGGGUGAAAGGUCACAGCUUAACUGUGAGAUUGCCUUUGAAACUGUGUAACUUGAAUCAGAUAGAGGUUAGUGGAAUGCGACAUGUAGCGGUGAAAUGCAUAGAUAUGUCGUGGAAUACCGAUUGCGAAGGCAGCUAACUGUGUCUUGAUUGACGCUGAGGCACGAAAGCGUGGGGAGCGAACAGGAUUA